rnacentral:rRNA from 1 species
CCUACGGGUAGCAGCAGUGGGGAAUAUUGGGCAAUGGGCGCAAGCCUGACCCAGCAAUGCCGCGUGAAGGAAGAAGGCUUUCGGGUUGUAAACUUCUUUGACAGGGGAAGAGCAGAAGACGGUACCCUGAAAACAAGCCACGGCUAACUACGUGCCAGCAGCCGCGGUAAUACGUAGGUGGCAAGCGUUGUCCGGAUUUACUGGGUGUAAAGGGCGUGUAUCCGGGAAGGCAAGUCAGAUGUGAAAUCUGGAGGCUCAACCUCCAAAUUGCAUUUGAAACUGUUUUUCUUGAGUACUGGAGAGGCAGACGGAAUUACUUGUGAAGCGGUGAAAUGCGUAGAUAUAAGGAGGAACACCAGUGGCGAAGGCGGUCUGCUGGACAGCAACUGACGGUGAGGCGCGAAAGCGUGGGGAGCAAACAGGAUUAGAUACCCCUGUAGUC